GACGAACGCUGGCGGCGUGCCUAAUACAUGCAAGUAGAACGCAGUUGCGAACGGGUGAGUAACGCGUAGGUAACUGCCUCAUAGCGGGGGAUAACUAUUGGAAACGAUAGCUAAUACCGCAUACUGUGAGAUGGACCUGCGUUGUAUUAGCUAGUUGGUGAGGUAAAGGCCAAACAAGGCGGAGAUACAUAGCCGACGUGAGAGGGUGAUCGGGCAAACUGGGAAUGAGGCAAGGCCCAGACUCCCUCGGGAGGGAGGAAGAGGGAAUCUUCGGAAAUGGGCGGAAGUCUUGCCGAGCAACGCCGCGUGAGUGAAGAAGGUUUUCGGGUCGGAAAGCCCUGUUGUGAGAGAAGCGGUAACUAAACAGAAAGGGACGGCUAACUACGUGCCAGCCGCCGCGGUAAUAC
rnacentral:rRNA from 1 species